rnacentral:pre_miRNA from 2 species
UCUUAUGAAUGAGCAAAUAAAGUGUUUUCUUGAGAUGAAAUCUACUCCUGGUGAAUAUGUUGUGAA